GACGAACGCUGGCGGCGUGCUUCACACAUGCAAGUCGAACGAAGUGGCGAACGGGUGAGUAACGCGUAAUCAACCUGACCUUCAGAGGGGGACAACAGUGGGACACGACUGCUAAUACCGCAUACAGAAGGCGGGGAUUGCGUUUGAUUAGCUAGUUGGAGGGGUAACGGCCCACCAAGGCGAUGACCAGUAGCCGGUCUGGGAGGAUGAACGGCCCAAUUGGGACUGAGACACGGCCCAGACUCCUACGGGAGGCAGCAGGGGGGAAUCUUCCGCAAUGGACGAAAGUCUGACGGAGCAACGCCGCGUGAGUGAUGACGGCCUUCGGGUUGUAAAGCUCUGUUAAUCGGGACGCGGUACCGGAAUAGAAAGCCACGGCUAACUACGUGCCAGCAGCCGCGGUAAUUC
rnacentral:rRNA from 1 species